rnacentral:rRNA from 1 species
CACGAGAAAUCCUGUGUGAAUCUGCCGGGACCAUCCGGUAAGGCUAAAUACUCCUCGAAGACCGAUAGUGAACGAGUACUGUGAAGGAAAGGUGAAAAGAACCCUGAACAAGGGAGUGAAAAAGACCCUGAAACCGUGUGUCUACAAGCGGUCGAAGCCUUCGGGCGACGGCGUGCCUUUUGCAUAAUGAUCCUACGAGUUACUCCUCAAUGGCAAGGUUAAGUUGUUCAGCAACGAAGCCGAAGCGAAAGCGAGUCUUAACAGGGCGCUGAGUCAUUGGGGGUAGACGCGAAACCUUGUGAUCUACCCAUGGCCAGGUUGAAGUUUUGGUAACACAAAAUGGAGGACCGAACCGAUAAGCGUUGAAAAGCUUCCGGAUGAGCUGUGGGUAGGGGUGAAAGGCCAAUCAAACUGGGAAAUAGCUCGUACUCCCCGAAAUGCAUUUAGGUGCAGCGUCGUGGUAGAGUUUUAUAGAGGUAGAGCUACUGAUUGGACUAGGGGGCUUCACCGCCUACCGAAUCCUGACAAACUCCGAAUGCUAUAAAAUAUACACGGCAGUGAGGGCAUGGGUGCUAAGGUCCAUGUCCGAGAGGGAAAGAACCCAGACCAUCGGCUAAGGUCCCCAAAUGUAUACUAAGUUGAAUAAACGUUGUGCGGUUGCAUAGACAGCUAGGAUGUUGGCUUGGAAGCAGCCAUUCAUUUAAAGAGUGCGUAACAGCUCACUAGUCGAGCGACCGUGCGUGGAUAAUAAUCGGGCAUUAAGUAUACUACCGAAGCUGUGGAUUUCAUAUUUAUUAUGAUCUGGUAGGGGAGCAUUCCAGUCUGCGUUGAAGGUGCAUGGUGAUGUGUGCUGGAGCGGCUGGAAACGCAAAUGUAGGAAUGAGUAACGAUAAUGCAGGCGAGAAACCUGCACACCGAUAGACUAAGGUUUCCUUGGCGACGCUAAUCGUCCAAGGGUUAGUCGGGACCUAACGCGAACCCGAGAGGGGUAGUGGAUGGACAACGGGUUAAUAUUCCCGUACUUCUUAUAACUGCGAUGGGGUGACGGAGUGAUGAAAGUACCGCGAACUGACGGAAUAGUUCGUUGAAGGUUGUAGGUAUAGGACUGGUAGGCAAAUCCGCCGGUCUUGCCGAAUUCUGAUAGUACCACAAGGCUUCGGCUGCGUGGAUAGUGUCCCUAAGGGCUUCCGAGAAAACCCUCUAAGCUUCAGGUUAUAAGAACCCGUACCGUAAACCGACACAGGUAGUCGAGGAGAGAAUCCUAAGGUGCUCGAGUGAAUCAUGGCUAAGGAACUAGGCAAAAUUGUCUCGUAACUUCGGGAGAAGAGACGCCUCUGGCAACAGAGGCCGCAGUGAAUAGGCCCAGGCGACUGUUUAUCAAAAACACAUGGCUUUGCAAAAUCGUAAGAUGACGUAUAAGGCCUGACACCUGCCCGGUGCUGGAAGGUUAAGAGGAGAUGUUAGUUUCGGCGAAGCAUUGAAUUGAAGCCCCAGUAAACGGCGGCCGUAACUAUAACGGUCCUAAGGUAGCGAAAUUCCUUGUCGGGU